UCCUCUCCUCCCCAAUGGUGUUUUUUUUUUUAACUUUUUUGUGAUCAUUUUGCUGUUAAAGAUUAAGCCAUGCAUGUCUAAGUAUAAGCAAUUAUACCGCGAAACUGCGAAUGGCUCAUUAUAUAAGUUAUCGUUUAUUUGAUAGUACCUUACUACUUGGAUAACCGUGGUAAUUCUAGAGCUAAUACAUGCUAAAAAUCCCGACUUCGGAAGGGAUGUAUUUAUUAGAUUAAAAACCAAUGCCCUUCGGGGCUCACUGGUGAUUCAUGAUAACUCCUCGAAUCGCAUGGCCUUGCGCCGGCGAUGGUUCAUUCAAAUUUCUUCCCUAUCAACUUUCGAUGUUUGGGUAUUGGCCAAACAUGGUUGCAACGGGUAACGGAGGGUUAGGGCUCGACCCCGGAGAAGGAGCCUGAGAAACGGCUACUACAUCCAAGGAAGGCAGCAGGCGCGCAAAUUACCCAAUCCCGACACGGGGAGGUAGUGACAAUAAAUACUGAUACAGGGCUCUUUUGGGUCUUGUAAUUGGAAUGAGUACAAUUUAAAUCCCUUAACGAGGAACAAUUGGAGGGCAAGUCUGGUGCCAGCAGCCGCGGUAAUUCCAGCUCCAAUAGCGUAUAUUAAAGUUGUUGUGGUUAAAAAGCUCGUAGUUGAACCUUGGGCCUGGCCGUCCGGUCCGCCUCACCGCGUGUACUGGCUCGGCCGGGCCUUUCCCUCUGUGGAACCCCAUGCCCUUCACUGGGCGUGGCGGGGAAACAGGACUUUUACUGUGAAAAAAUUAGAGUGCUCCAGGCAGGCCUAUGCUCGAAUACAUUAGCAUGGAAUAAUAGAAUAGGACGUGUGGUUCUAUUUUGUUGGUUUCUAGGACCGCCGUAAUGAUUAAUAGGGACAGUCGGGGGCAUCAGUAUUCAAUUGUCAGAGGUGAAAUUCUUGGAUUUAUUGAAGACUAACUACUGCGAAAGCAUUUGCCAAGGAUGUUUUCAUUAAUCAGGAACGAAAGUUAGGGGAUCGAAGACGAUCAGAUACCGUCGUAGUCUUAACCAUAAACUAUGCCGACUAGGGAUCGGACGGUGUUAUUUUUUGACCCGUUCGGCACCUUACGAGAAAUCAAAGUGCUUGGCUCCAGGGGAGUUUCCCACC
rnacentral:rRNA from 1 species